GAUGAACGCUGGCGGCGUGCCUAAUACAUGCAAGUCGAACGAAACUUCUUUAUCACCGAGUGCUUGCACUCACCGAUAAAGAGUUGAGUGGCGAGCGGGUGAGUAACACGUGGGCAACCUGCCCAAAAGAGGGGGAUAACACUUGGAAACAGGUGCUAAUACCGCAUAACCAUAGUUACCGCAUGGUAACUAUGUAAAAGGUGGCUAUACUACCGCUUUUGGAUGGGCCCGCGGCGCAUUAGCUAGUUGGUAGGGUAAAGGCUUACCAAGGCAAUGAUGCGUAGCCGAAUUGAGAGGUUGAUCGGCCACAUUGGGACUGAGACACGGCCCAAACUCCUACGGGAGGCAGCAGUAGGGAAUCUUCCACAAUGGGCGAAAGCCUGAUGGAGCAACGCCGCGUGGGUGAAGAAGGUCUUCGGAUCGUAAAACCCUGUUGUUAGAGAAGAAAGUGCGUGAGAGUAACUGUUCACGUUUCGACGGUAUCUAACCGGAAAGCCACGGCUAACUACGUG
rnacentral:rRNA from 1 species